CCUGGUUGAUCCUGCCAGUAGUCAUAUGCUUGUCUCAAAGAUUAAGCCAUGCAUGUGUAAGUACAGGCCGACUUAAGGCGAAACCGCGGACGGCUCAUUAAAUCAGAUAUAACUCAUUGGAUCUCUGCUGAACCGCAUUACUUGGAUAACUGUGGUAAUUCUAGAGCUAAUACAUGCCUUUGUAGUCUCCGACCGCGAGGGAGGAGCGCUUUUAUUAGACCAAAACCCUCGGCAGCCGGUUCCCGCAAGGGGCCGGCCGCACACAUCUUGGUGAAUCAGAAUAACUUUUGCCGAGCGCACGACCCCUCCCGUAACCCGGGUUGGGUCGGCGCCGCGUCCUGCAGGCGUCUGCCUUAUCAGCUCUCGAUUGUAGGUUAAACGCCUACAAUGGCUAUCACGGGUAACGGGGAAUCAGGGUUCGAUUCCGGAGAGGGAGCCUGAGAAACGGCUACCACAUCUAAGGAAGGCAGCAGGCGCGCAAAUUACCCACUCCCGGCACGGGGAGGUAGUGACGAAAAAUACUGUUGCGAGCCCCGAACGGGGCCUCGCAAUUGGAAUGAGUACACUUUAAAUCCUUGUACGAGGAUCGAGUGGAGGGCAAGUCUGGUGCCAGCCGCCGCGGUAAUUCCAGCUCCACUAGCGUAUAUUAAAGUUGUUGCGGUUGAAACGCUCGUAGUUUGACUUCUGCUCCGGACCGGCGGUCCGCCUUAGCGGCGGCUACUGCCGGGUUCCGAGCUGUGUCCCCGCCGGCGCACAUGGGGUUUUUAUGCCCUUAACCGGGUGUCCCCUUGUGGCCGGCACGUUUACUUUGAAAAAAUUAGAGUGCUCAGAGCAGGCUGGUUUUUGCUUACAGCCCGAAUGGUCGUGCAUGGAAUGAUGGAACAGGACCUCGGUUCUAUUUUGUCGGUUUUUCGGAACCCGAGGUAAUGAUUAAUAGAAGCAGACGGGGGCAUUCGUACUGCGACGCUAGAGGUGAAAUUCUUAGACCGUCGCAUGACGACCUACUGCGAAAGCAUCUGCCAAGGAUGUUUUCAUUGAUCAAGAACGAAAGUUAGAGGUUCGAAGGCGAUCAGAUACCGCCCUAGUUCUAACCUUAAACGAUGCUGACUAGCGAUCCGCCGCAGUUAUUCCCAUGACCCGGCGGGUAGCUUCCGGGAAACCAAAGUCUUUGAGUUCCGGGGGAAGUAUGGUUGCAAAGCUGAAACUUAAAGGAAUUGACGGAAGGGCACCACCAGGAGUGGAGCCUGCGGCUCAAUUUGACUCAACACGGGAAACUCACCAGGCCAGGACACCGGAAGGAUUGACAGAAUGAAGGCUCUUUCUCGAUUCGGUGGGUGGUGGUGCAUGGCCGUUCUUAGUUGGUGGAGUGAUCUGUCUGGUUAAUUCCGAUAACGAACGAGACUCUAGCCACCAACAAGAACUGCGCCAUCAUGCAAAAAAUCCGUCGGUUACUAUUUCGUCGACGUCGCCUGCAACGCCGCGACCUACAGUGCCAUCUGUCGGAAGAAUUGAUCGGAGCGUUUUGGCGGGAAAUGCAAACGGUUCUCGUGUUCGGUUCUUGAUAAAUGCAACGU
rnacentral:rRNA from 1 species